UACAGAGGUCCCAAGCGUUGUUCGGAUUCACUGGGCGUAAAGGGUGCGUAGGCGGCCGGGUAAGUCUGAUGUGAAAUCUCACAGCUUAACUGUGAAACUGCAUUGGAUACUAGCCGGCUCGAGGAAUGGAGGGGAGACUGGAAUACUUGGUGUAGCAGUGAAAUGCGUAGAUAUCAAGUGGAACACCAGUGGCGAAGGCGAGUCUCUGGACAUUUCCUGACGCUGAGGCACGAAAGCCAGGGGAGCAAACGGG
rnacentral:rRNA from 1 species